UGGGUAGACAGACUGGCCCCAAAUGAAGUCCAGUCUUUAUGUUAAAAAGGUAAUAAUCAUCAUG
rnacentral:sRNA from 12 species